rnacentral:lncRNA from 1 species
UACUAGGGGCCUUGAAAGAUUUGUAUAACUGUGCUUGAACUUGAAUGGCCUUAAACCUGUUUCAGCUUUAACAAUAGAAUUUUAUUUGGGCAAUAUUUGCCCAUUCUGGUGUAACUUACGUGACUUCAGUGCUUAACAGCUGCCAUUGAAGCUAGUAUUCUUAUUUAUUUUUGUAGUGUUAAAUACCUUUCAUUGUUGAGGAUGUGAAUGCAUGUGCAUCGACUGUUGAAUUCACUUUUGUGCCAUUUUUGUAAAUACAGUACUUUUGCACAACCUUUCAUAAAUGUCUGUAUUAAUUUCACAUAUUAGAAAGUAGAUAAUGUGCCAUCGAGAAGCACAAGAGUUCCUCCUACACACAAAAAAACUAUAUAUCCUUACAGCUUUUAUAUAAUAAGAGUAGAGUAGUUUACAAUCUUGGGCUUAUAGAAUACCAAACUGAAGUCUUCAUCUUCACUCAGUCUGCCGUAGAAUUAAGCUUUUACAAUUGUUACUAAUAUUCAUGACGUUCAGUGGCCUUGUGCAAAUAUGAUAUGUUGCUUAGGCAUAUCUUUUGUCCUAUGCAGAUCUUAUUUUGACUUUUAUGAAAACUGCAGUUCAUAUAAUUUAUACACACUUUUUUUAAGUAUACAGACUUUUUAGUUCCACGCUUAACUUUGGGUACACUAGAGUAAAAGGCUCUCCAUACUCUGCCUUCUGUUUUCUUCUCCUCCCUGCC